AUUGAACGCUGGCGGCAUGCCUUACACAUGCAAGUCGAACGGCAGCACGGGUGCUUGCACCUGGUGGCGAGUGGCGAACGGGUGAGUAAUACAUCGGAACGUACCUUAUCGAGGGGGAUGACGCAGCGAAAGCUGCGCUAAUACCGCAUACGCCCGGAGGGGGAAAGCAGGGGAUCGAAAGACCUCGCGCGAUUAGAGCGGCCGAUGCCUGAUUAGCUUGUUGGUGGGGUAAAAGCCCACCAAGGCGACGAUCAGUAGCUGGUCUGAGAGGACGAUCAGCCACACUGGGACUGAGACACGGCCCAGACUCCUACGGGAGGCAGCAGUGGGGAAUUUUGGACAAUGGGGGCAACCCUGAUCCAGCAAUGCCGCGUGAGUGAAGAAGGCCUUCGGGUUGUAAAGCUCUUUUGUCAGGGAAGAAACACCGGCUCUAACACAGUCCGGGAAUGACGGUACCUGAAGAAUAAGCACCGGCUAACUACGUGCCAGCCGCCGCCGUAA
rnacentral:rRNA from 1 species